GUCCACGCCCUAAACGAUGUCAACUGGUUGUUGGGAAUUUAUUUUCUCAGUAACGAAGCUAACGCGUGAAGUUGACCGCCUGGGGGAGUACGGCCGCAAGGUUAAAACUCAAAGGAAUUGACGGGGACCCGCACAAGCGGUGGAUGAUGUGGUUUAAUUCGAUGCAACGCGAAAAACCUUACCCACCUUUGACAUGUACGGAAUCCUUUAGAGAUAGAGGAGUGCUCGAAAGAGAACCGUAACACAGGUGCUGCAUGGCUGUCGU
rnacentral:rRNA from 1 species